GACGGGAGGUGCAUGGUUGUCGUCAGCUCGUGUCGUGAGAUGUUGGGUUAAGUCCCGCAACGAGCGCAACCCUUAUUAUCAGUUGCCAGCAUUCAGUUGGGCACUCUGGUGAGACUGCCGGUGACAAACCGGAGGAAGGUGGGGAUGACGUCAAAUCAUCAUGCCCCUUAUGACCUGGGCUACACACGUGCUACAAUGGACGGUACAACGAGUUGCGAAGUCGUGAGGCUAAGCUAAUCUCUUAAAGCCGUUCUCAGUUCGGAUUGUAGGCUGCAACUCGCCUACAUGAAGUUGGAAUCGCUAGUAAUCGCGGAUCAAC
rnacentral:rRNA from 2 species